CAGCAUGUUUCCAAGGGCUAUGGCUGGUUGUGGCCAUGGGAUCUCCAACUGCAUGCCAGAGAAACUGGAGAGACUUUGACAGCCCAGGCCGGCACAGUGCCUGCAGCUGCCACUCGGCUUUCCUAUAUAU
rnacentral:snoRNA from 1 species